GCUUAAUCCAUCAUAAUAUUGAUGUUAAAGGCCAAUGAUGAUGACGAGUUAAAAUUUUAUGGAUUUUAUUCACGUUUUGGAUUGUGUAUUUAUACCAAAUUAAAUACUUUUUUUAUAUUAGCUCUUUAUUUAUAUUGCCGACUUCUGAAAGGAGUAGGUUUUAUGUUCGGGUUUAUGUAAAAAAAAAUUAUACUACGUCGGUGGCAAACAAGCAUACGGCCCGCCUGAUGGUAAGCAGUCUCCGUAGCCUAUGUACGCCUGCAACUCCAGAGGAGUUACAUGCGCGUUGCCACUCCGCACCCUCGUUGAGCUCUGGCAACCUUACUCACCGGCAGGAACACAACACUAUGAGUAGGGUCUAGUGUUAUUUGCCUGCGGUUUUCUGUAAGGUGGAGGUACUUCCCCAGUUGGGCUCUGCUCUAGAUCUGGAAUGACAUCCGCUGGCUGUGCCCUACAAAUCGAGAUGACAUUCACAAUGCCCAUACCUCUCUUUUGGACGUAGUUUAAUGACGUACCCAGGUCCGCAUGCCACUUUCAUAUCAGAUAUACCAAUUUGCAUACGGCGGCACAACAAAACAAAAUUUUAACUUCGUUGAAAAUUACGGGUUCCGUAACCAAAGGUCAAACGGGACCCUAACUAUAUUACUGAGACUCCGCUGUCCGUCCGUCCGUCUGUCACUAGGCUGUAUCUCAUGAACUGCAUGCUGAUGUAUGUUAGCCAGUUGAAAUUUCUACAGAUUAUGUAUUUCUGUUGCCGCUAUAACAACAAAUACUAAAAAUAGAAUAAAAUAAAUAUUUCUUUCCUAUCUCGAGGUUCUCAUCCAAUCACCGAUGUUAAGCAACGUCGGGCGGGGUUAGUAUGUACAUGGAUGGGUGACCGUUUUUAUAGAUAAUGGCCGAUCUUUUUAAAAUUAAAACUUCUUAGAUUUUUACAGACAUUUAAGUGUUCGUCUUAGAUAACUUCUGCAUCGACUUUGAUUCUACUCAUGUUUCACGUUAAUCAACUACUCAACCUGUUGCGCGAAGCCUCGCAAGCGCUAGGCCCCGGGCAGUUGCCCCGUUCGCGACCCCCAAAGACCGCGUAUGUGGGUCAUACUGAACAACUUUUACUAUAGGGCCAACCCCGAAACCGGGUAAUAAAAUCAGCUGUUCCAUAUAAAACAUUGACAUGUGACUCACCAAAAUGUAUGAGACGGCAGAUUUUUUUUCGCGAUUUCGGAUUUGGCCCCAUAGUAAAAAUUUGGUCCAUACCCACCCCUUAGCGUAUGGUCAAAUACCUAUAACAAUUUUACCCUUUAUGUCAUGUCGGUUAAUUCCGUUAUUAGCGCACAACGUAUUACAAAUUUCAAAUCCUACGACUUUGUCGAGUGCAAAACUUUAAAUAUUGACCCAAGAUGUUAUUUAUGAUGAUGUAAUCAUAAUCAUAAUGCUUUAUUUGUAAUGUUUACAUAUUAUCCAUCUAUCCGCAGUGUUAAAAUUAAGAUAACUUCAUUUCGGAUAAAUGUCCAAAACUUGCGGUGUUAAUUUGAGUAAAUGGUAGGAUCUCUGAUUUUCAUCCUCACAAUCCCUCUUGUUCGCGCCUCAACCCUUUUAUCAGAAGUCAGGGCUUAAUUGUCGCUCUUGCCCUAGUAAUUAUAAACGCCAGGAAUUUACAGCCACUAUAAUUAGGUUUCUCCAUUGAAAUGCGAGCGAGUGAGCGAAAACCUCAUUACAAGCUUGGGUUCCUCCAAAUGCGCUUUGAAAUCGUUUUCUAUUAGUUCCGAUUCAGGAAAGACUCUCAAUAAAAUAAUGGAAAAUACUUUCAAACCUCGUAAGAAUAUAUUUCAUCAUUUUGAAAUUGGGGACAAGUGUUUGAAAUUGUGGAUUGUCUUUAUAUACAUACUAGCUGACCCGGUGAACUUCGUAUCACCUAUCGUAUUCGUAUUACAUAUAUAAAUGUACACUCCCAAAUGUCUCCUUUUAGUACGUCACGGAUUAUCCAAUCAUUCUUUUACAGAUGUUACUGACAUCAAAUAAGUACCCUACUUACCUACAAUUUUUUUUCAUUUUCCAUUCAUUGAUAAUGAUUCUAAUCAUUAUUAUUUAUUUAUAUGGGAAAAUAAUAUCUUUUUUUACUGGUCUCCUCGCAAUUUUUCUAUCUUUUCUCGGCGUUUAAACCUUCCCUGGACUUUCACUAAUAGGUACAUAUUUCAAUACCAAAAUUAGCCAAAUCGGGCCACUAUUUCGGAAGUUAUGCGAUCACAUACAUUUUGACGAUUCAUUUAUAUAUAUAUAUGAGAUAGAUGUCGUACUUUUGUAGUCUCUAAUUAUAUAGUUUUCUUACAUGAGAUGUCUAAAUACCAUCUGAAAUAUAGCUGCUAUAUUAUAAUAAUGUAUAUCUGUAUCUUCCAAGCGCACCUAUUUCGAAUAGGUAACCAGAACUCGGAAGAGAGUGGCUUGCAGAGGUUAUGGAUUCGUAGUCGAGUCCGAUUCUAAUCCUUUGUAUAAGAAGUACUUAUUAUUUAGUCCAAAUAAAAUGAUUGUGUACUGCUGUCAAUGUUGUGUCUGUUUCUCAGUUUGCUCUUAGGUACCUAAAUCAGUUUUGAUAAAAUGCAUCAGUGAACAUUACAGUAGCGUAAAUGUUGGUUUUAUAUAUGUACGAGGGCUGAUCCAAAAGUUGUUAGUUGCUCCGGCUCUACUCAUGCGAUAAAAAAAUUAUUUAUACUAUUGUGAGGGAUAUUUCAAUGCUACUUAUGGCCAUCAAUUUUUUUUAAUUAAUGCAAAUAGUUUUUUUUAUUAUAUAUUUUUAACGGAAAGCUGUUUUGUAUGGAGUUAUGAAUUGCUUAGAAAAAACGGCAAUUUUGGGCACAAUUAAAUGAAUUUCGUAUUGAAAUCUUUGAAAAUCGAACUUAAAUUUACCCGGGUCUAAUUAUUAUCUUCCUUCUGCUAUUUCCAAUGUAUAAAUCAAUAAAUAAUCUUAUAUGCAUAUAUGUAUAUUUUUUUAAACAUCAGAAAUUUUUACUUUUAAUGAAAGGACUCAUUGUUGACACCUAUUAAACCAUAAUAAUAUUUACUCAAUCAAAACGAUUUAUACGUAAAAGAACAGCCGAGAUUCAUCAUUAGUAGCAUCUAAAAAACUUUUGUUUUUUUUUUACAAUAACUGUCUAUAAAAUGACAGCACAUAUGGAGUCUCAAUUACUGAUUUUCAUGACUGAUGGUUAGGCUUCGACGCAUCGAAGUAAAAAUAAAAUAAAAACACAAAAUAAGCGUUUUCUAAAAAUGUAUUUAUACCACUUUAAUAAGCACUGAAAAAUCCCUCACAAUAGUAUAAAUAAAAUUUUAAUCGCAUGAGUAGAGCCGGAGCAACUAACAACUUUUGGAUUAGCCCUCGUAUUUAGGUAUAUGGGAAUAUUUUUUCCAUUAUCAAAAUUACCCUGCUUCCGAAGUUACCCCAAUGCACCUUACUUAUAUACAAAUAAUUUGGCUUUCUCGCACUAUUUUGUUUUGAUAGACAUCAGAUAUCUACUUUUAGGUACCUAUAUGUUCUCCGCGGACUAAAUCUUUUCUAGAUACCAGCGUUUCUUAGCUCUUCACAUAGUAAGACGUGCCAGACACAUUACUCCGUCUGUGUAUGUAUCGUACAUGGGCCGUCCUUGGUCCUAAUUAAUUUGCGGGCAGCUCCUUGCCAACUCAGCUGGCGCCGGCACUAUAUCCCAGUUUUAAAUGGCGUCGCAGAAUCGCCCGGAAUACUUACUAGGUCGUGGUUAUCGAUGUACAUUCUCAGCUCGUCUGGAGUCUGGUCACAGCAACUUACACAAGUCUAAAAUGUUAACCGUUUCAUAUACCCGUCCAAUACAAUUGUGUGGGUAAAUUUCUAUUACAGUACAUAUGGGGCUACUUUAUAGCACUACUAGUGCGAGAAGUAGCAUAUUAUGUUACUGUGUCGAACAUUUAAAGGGCCAUAUGUACUGUAAAACGUUGUACGAUACAUGUGCGAAUAGGUAAUUCGCAACUCGUGUCGAUUUAAAACACUCCCUUCGGUCGUGUUUUAAUUUAUCGCCACUCGUUUCGAAUUUCCUAUUUUUCGCACUUGUAUCGUAAUGUACUAUUUUAACACAGUUGCUCAAAAAGUGCUACUUUACGUAGCUGUUUAGCGUGCGGAAAGUUGGAUUUGGCGAACUAGUGCUUUUUUUUUUACUUUUCCACUUGUUCCAAUUCAUGACUACUUAUUGAUGAGUGUUAAUGUUAGUGUCCUUUAAAAGUCGUAAUCAACAUAAACACCUACUGUUCAUGAAAAAAUCAUAAAUAUAAGCAUAUUUCAUAUUUUAUUACUUACCUCUUCAUCAUUAUAAAACGUUUAUUUUUUAAUAUUGAAAAACCGUUCUUAAUAAGUUGUCUGAAUGGAACGGAAUAGCUGCCGAAACACCUGUCAAAGCAGAGGCGUUUUUUACUGCAAGAAUGUUUUAAUUUUCCAAAGGCAACAUUUGAUAUUGUUUUCAUACAAUUUAAAUAUACGAUACACAAAUAACCGUAAAUAACGAUACUUUGGUAAUAAUAGUAUAAUAUUUUAUAUUUACAAAUGUUUAUGUCUUAUAGAACAUGCAUAAACAGUACUUGUUGUUUUUAUUAUUUUUUUCGCAACUGUAUUAAAAAACGUCGUUCGAUACACGUGCGGAAUCCGCACUAGCACCGAAAUGUACUAUUUUUUGUUCAUGUUAAGGGGAAAGGGGACGACCACUUCUCCAUACAAAUGUAGUACCCAUUUUCCUCUCUGCAUAUUAACAAUAUAGAAUAGAACAUAUGUUUAUACAAUUUGAUGUAUAUUAAACAUCCCUAUGCACCUUCGUUUGGCUCUUUUCGAUUUAGGUGUUAAUUAUUAUAAGAGUAAAGAUGUUUAAAAAUUUGUAUGGUAUGUUUUUCGCUUCUUACUUUUAGAUUAAUCAAAAAAUUAAAAAAAGUCAAACGAAGGGGCAUAGGUGUGGUUAAAUUGUAUAAAAAAUAUGUCAAUAUACAUGGAGGAAGACGGGGAUUACGUUUGUAUGGUUCAGAAGUGAUCCAUUAUGCUCUUAAUACAUGAACAUGACACUAAAGUUCAUGUUAAGAUAAGCGAAUUUCGGGUCUGAGACAGUGCAGUCUGCUACUGCUUUUUAACACCCGACGCAAAAUGGUGUUAAGACUUAAGUGCCUAAGCUUGGCACGCGUCGAGCAUCGUAGCGGCCAAACAGAUGGAACUCAUUUUCAUGUAAUUUUGUUAUAAAGAUGACAUGUAUGUACCAAAUUAUACGUUUUUGUGAUGUACCUUUUGCAUAUUAAAAUUUUCUGUCACUCGAUGAGAAGAGAUUUCCAAAGACUCGAGUCUGUUCUCCCUAUUUAUUUCUAGCAUUAACUUUGAUAGUAUAAAACCUAAUUGCAUUUAUUUAUAAUCGUAAACGGUUUAAUAACGUGCUAUCAUCGAAAUUUGGUAGGUACUUACGGUUUUUUUCUCACGUGGCUGCCGCGUAGCACCUAUCGAACGAUAGGUAAUAAUAAUAUAGGUACCAUAUUUUACUUCGUCUACGUCGUAGCUAUCGCAUCUAGGUAACUUUUAAAAGCAACCGGCCAAGUGCGGACUCGUGCACUAAGGGUUCCGUACCAUUACGCAAAAACGACAAAAAAUCAUGUUUGUUGUAUGGGAGCCCCCUCCAGGGAGCAAAAAACGGAACCCGUCGAUUCGUCAUGUCUGUCUGUCUGUCUGUCCGUCCGUAUGUCACAGGUCACAGCCACUUUUUUCCGAAACUAUAAGAGCUAGACUGUUGAAACAGGUAAGUAGAUGUAUUCUGCGAACCGCAUUAAGAUUUUCACACAAAAAUAGAAAAAAAAAAACAAUAAAUUUUGGGGGUUCUCCAUACUUAGAACUGAAACUCAAAAAAAAAUUUUUCAUGAAACCCAUACGUGUGGGGUAUCUAUGGAUAGGUCUUCAAAAAGGAUAUUGAGGUUUCUAAUAUAAUUUUUUUCUAAACUGAAUACCUAGUUUGCGCGAGAGACACUUCCAAAGUGGUAAAAUGUGUGUGUGUGUGUGUGUGUGUGUGUGUCCCCUGUAACUUCUAAAAUAAGAGAAUGAUAAAAGUAAAAAAAAAAUAUAAUGUAUAUUACCAUGCAAACUUCCACCGAAAAUUGGUUUGAACGAGAUCUAAUAAGUAGUUUUUUUUAAAUACUUACGUCAUAAAUGGUACGGAACCCUUCAUGGGCGAGUCCGACUCGCACUUGGCCGGUUUUUUUAGUAUUUGCUGUUAAAGCGGCAAUAUAAAUACAUUAUCUGUGAAAAUUUCAACUGUCUGACUAUCACGGCUCAUGAGAUACAGCCUGGUGACAGACGGACUACAGCGGAGUCUUAGUAAUACUAAUAGGGUCCCGUUUUACCCUUUGUUGAAAAUAACGUAAAACUUACUUUUCAUGAUUUUACUAUAUAUUUUGGCGCAGCCGUGUGGUCCACGCACGCCUUUUGUAUGGUCAUCUGUCAAAAAAAUCAUGCACGGUCCUAAUUAUAACGUUAAAUGCACUUAUAGCAUAGCUACACAUUGCAUAGGACAUUCACACAUUCAUAGCAAAGAACCUAGUAAGUAAGAAGAGCGAGCUACGGUUCGAACGCACACUUGAAUUGAAUCGGAAUUAAAUUUGGAUUAAAUUACUUGAAUACAUGCCUUGUGCUUGUGACGGCCAGACAUGACUAACUAAAAAUUAGGUCCGGAAAUAGAGUAUACGUAUACGGUGCGAUGAGUGAAGAUGAUAUGUAAAGGAAUUUCAUACGGCCUUACACACCUAGGCCUGGGCUACCGCGAAAAUCGAAGUUCGUCAAUGCGGGCAUUUUUCUCUGUCACUCUAAUUAUGUCUUAGUGAGAGUAAAAGAGAAAGAUCCCCGUAAUUUGCGAUUUUCGGUUUUCGAGGUAGGCCCCCUGUAAAGCAACCUUCUUUUGUUUUUAAACGUCAAAUUGUGACACGUUUUGCAUUCAACCAUCAAAUAGUAGUAGAUUCGUAAUUUGUUUUUAUCUGUGCAAAACUACAAAUAAAACAAAUUGACUACUUUUUUUAUGAUACAGGAGGCAAAUGAGCAGACGGAUCACCUGAUGGUAAGCGAUGGUAUUUCAUUGCAAGUUUGAGAAUAGCACUAAAAAUCUCGACGAGAAACGGGGUUGCCUGCCGCGUAUCCCCAUCCUAUUUUGAAUAGGUAUUCGUCAAUUUUGAAUAAUCUAUUGAAAUAUUAUGUUAAUGUGAUAUUUGUAGAAUCUGGUUACGCCUAUUUUAAGGGGCCACAGUACUGGCAGUAGACGGAACCCUGUCAAAUUUGUAUUUGUGUAGCAACGGUUCUAUGAAUUGUUUGUUUACUUUUAUGUAUGUCAGUCGGUCAAUAACAGUUCUCAUGUAAACACUGAAUAAAUUUCUAGUAUACA